rnacentral:rRNA from 1 species
UACGUAGGUGGCAAGCGUUGUCCGGAUUUACUGGGUGUAAAGGGCGCGCAGGCGGGAUAAACAGUCAGUGGUGAAAUCCUACAGCUUAACUGUAGAAGUGCCUUUGAUACUUUUAUUCUUGAGUUCGGGAGAGAGAGACGGAAUUCCAGGUGUAGUGGUGAAAUACGUAGAUAUCUGGAAGAACACCAGUUGCGAAGGCGGUCUCUUGGUCCGAUACUGACGCUGAGGCGCGAAAGCGUGGGGAGCAAACAGG